GGUAUGAAGGUAGGACAAAGUUUAGCUUUUAUAGAUUAACUAAAAUAAUUUGAAGUUUAAGUUCAAAAUUGCUUAAAUUAAAUAAAGGGACGAUAAGACCCUAAAAGCUUUAUUUUGUAAAUUAGUUUAAGCUAGGAAUAAAAUAAGUAAAAAUUUUAACUGGGGUAGUGACUAUAUAUAACUUGUAGUAUCUUAUACAGUUAAUGUAUUAAUGAUCUUUUAUAUAAGAUUUAAAUGAAUAAGUUACUUUAGGGAUAACAGCACAAUAAUUUUGGAGAGUUCUUAUUUAUAGAUUUGAUUGUGACCUCGAUGUUGAAUUAAAAUAUCUCUAUAAGGGAAAAGGUAUAGGAGUGGGUUUGUUCAACCUUUAAAAUUUUACAUGAUUU
rnacentral:rRNA from 1 species